CCUACGGGGGGCAGCAGUGGGGAAUAUUGCACAAUGGGGGGAACCCUGAUGCAGCGACGCCGCGUGAGUGAAGAAGUAUCUCGGUACGUAAAGCUCUAUCAGCAGGGACGAAACUGACGGUACCUGACUAAGAAGCCCCGGCUAACUACGUGCCAGCAGCCGCGGUAAUACGUAGGGGGCAAGCGUUAUCCGGAUUUACUGGGUGGAACGGUAACGUAGACGGCACUGCAAGUCCGGAGUGAAAGCCCAAGGCUUAACCAUGGGACUGCUUUGUAAACUGUGGAGCUUGAGUGCGGGAGGGGCAGGCGGAAUUCCUAGUGUAGCGGUGAAAUGCGUAGAUAUUAGGAGGAACACCGGCGGCGAAGGCGGCCUGCUGGACCGUAACUGACGUUGAGGCUCGAAAGCGUGGGGAGCAAACAGGAUUAGAUACCCUAGUAGUC
rnacentral:rRNA from 1 species